rnacentral:rRNA from 1 species
CACCAGACUCCUACGGGAGGCAGCAGUGGGGAAUAUUGCACAAUGGGGGAAACCCUGAUGCAGCAACGCCGCGUGAGUGAAGAAGUAUUUCGGUAUGUAAAGCUCUAUCAGCAGGGAAGAAAAUGACGGUACCUGAAGAAGAAGCCCCGGCUAACUACGUGCCAGCAGCCGCGGUAAUACGUAGGGGGCAAGCGUUAUCCGGAUUUACUGGGUGUAAAGGGGGCGCAGACGGCAGCGCAAGCCAGGAGUGAAAGCCCGGGGCCCAACCCCGGGACUGCCCUUGGAACUGCGCGGCUGGAGUGCAGGAGGGGCAGGCGGAAUUCCUGGUGUAGCGGUGAAAUGCGUAGAUAUCAGGAGGAACACCGGUGGCGAAGGCGGCCUGCUGGACUGCGACUGACGUUGAGGCCCGAAAGCGUGGGGAGCAAACAGGAUUAGAUACCCGAGUA